UACGUAGGGUGCAAGCGUUAAUCGGAAUUACUGGGCGUAAAGCGUGCGCAGGCGGUUUUGUAAGUUUGUCGUGAAAUCCCCGGGCUCAACCUGGGAAUGGCGAUGAAGACUGCAAGGCUAGAAUCUGGCAGAGGGGGGUAGAAUUCCACGUGUAGCAGUGAAAUGCGUAGAGAUGUGGAGGAAUACCAAUGGCGAAGGCAGCCCCCUGGGAUAAUAUUGACGCUCAUGCACGAAAGGCGUGGGGAGCAAACGAGGAUUACGAA
rnacentral:rRNA from 1 species